rnacentral:rRNA from 1 species
GGUUCUUUGUAAUGGAUGUAUCAAUUCAAGCAUUGAGGAUAAACGAAACAAAAUGCGAUACGUGGUGGCAAUUUGUUAAGAAUCGGAGAUUUAAAUGCAAGUUGCACAUGAAGCUGCCAAUCCGUCGAGGGCAUGAUUGCAUGGGUGUCG